GAUGAACGCUAGCGGCAGGCCUAAUACAUGCAAGCUGAACGGUAAAUAUUGUAGCAAUACAAUAUGAGAGUAGCGUAAGGGUGCGUAACACGUAUGCAAUCUGCCCUGUACAGGAGGAUAGCUCGGGGAAACCCGGAUUAAUACUCCGUAAUAUUAUUGGGAGGCAUCUCUUGAUAAUUAAAGCCGCAAGACGGUAUGGGAUGAGCAUGCGUCUGAUUAGCUAGUUGGUGGUGUAACGGACCACCAAGGCGAUGAUCAGUAGGGGAACUGAGAGGUUGAUCCCCCACACUGGCACUGAGAUACGGGCCAGACUCCUACGGGAGGCAGCAGUAGGGAAUAUUGGUCAAUGGAUGCAAGUCUGAACUAGCCAUGCCGCGUGCAGGAAGAAGGCCUUCUGGGUUGUAAACUGCUUUUGCCGGGGGAUAAAAAGUCCAUGCGUGGACAAUUGAAGGUACCCGGUGAAUAAGCCACGGCUAACUACGUG
rnacentral:rRNA from 1 species